rnacentral:rRNA from 1 species
UACGGGAGGCAGCAGUGGGGAAUAUUGCACAAUGGGCGCAAGCCUGAUGCAGCCAUGCCGCGUGUAUGAAAAAGGCCUUCGGGUUGUAAAGUACUUUCAGUCGUGAGGAAGGUGUUAAGGUUAAUAACCUUAGCAAUUGACGUUAGCGACAGAAGAAGCACCGGCUAACUCCGUGCCAGCAGCCGCGGUAAUACGGAGGGUGCGAGCGUUAAUCGGAAUUACUGGGCGUAAAGGGCACGCAGGCGGUUAAUUAAGUUGGAUGUGAAAUCCCCGGGGCUUAACCUGGGAAUGGCAUUCAAGACUGGUUAGCUAGAGUCUUGUAGAGGGGGUAGAAUUCCAUGUGUAGCGGUGAAAUGCGUAGAGAUGUGGAGGAAUACCGGUGGCGAAGGCGGCCCCUGGACAAAGACUGACGCUCAUGUGCGAAAGCGUGGGGAGCAAACAGGGAUUAGAUACC